UACGAAGGGGGCUAGCGUUGCUCGGAAUCACUGGGCGUAAAGGGUGCGUAGGCGGGUCUUUAAGUCAGGGGUGAAAUCCUGGAGCUCAACUCCAGAACUGCCUUUGAUACUGAGGAUCUUGAGUUCGGGAGAGGUGAGUGGAACUGCGAGUGUAGAGGUGAAAUUCGUAGAUAUUCGCAAGAACACCAGUGGCGAAGGCGGCUCACUGGCCCGAUACUGACGCUGAGACGCGAAAGCGUGGGGAGCAAACAGGGAUUAAGA
rnacentral:rRNA from 1 species